rnacentral:rRNA from 1 species
CCUACGGGCUGCAGCAGUGGGGAAUAUUGCACAAUGGGCGCAAGCCUGAUGCAGCCAUGCCGCGUGUGUGAAGAAGGCCUUCGGGUUGUAAAGCACUUUCAGCGGGGAGGAAGGCGGUGAGGUUAAUAACCUCACCGAUUGACGUUACCCGCAGAAGAAGCACCGGCUAACUCCGUGCCAGUAGCCGCGGUAAUACGGAGGGUGCAAGCGUUAAUCGGAAUUACUGGGCGUAAAGCGCACGCAGGCGGUCUGUCAUGUCGGAUGUGAAAUCCCCGGGCUUAACCUGGGAACUGCAUUCGAAACUGGCAGGCUAGAGUCUUGUAGAGGGGGUAGAAUUCCAGGUGUAGCGGUGAAAUGCGUAGAGAUCUGGAGGAAUACCGGUGGCGAAGGCGGCCCCCUAGACAAAGACUGACGCUCAGGUGCGAAAGCGUGGGGAGCAAACAGGAUUAGAUACCCGCGUAGUC